AACGAACGCUGGCGGCGCGCCUAAUACAUGCAAGUCGAGCGAGAAGGUGUAGCAAUACACUUGUAAAGCGGCGAACGGGUGAGGAAUGCAUGGGUAACCUACCCUCGAGUGGGGAAUAACUAGCCGAAAGGUUAGCUAAUACCGCAUACGUUUCCGGAACUUCGGUUUCGGAAAGAAAGCAAUACCGUGGGUAUUGCGCUCCUGGAUGGGCUCAUGUCCUAUCAGCUUGUUGGUGAGGUAACGGCUCACCAAGGCUUCGACGGGUAGGCUGGUCUGAGAGGACGAUCAGCCACACUGGGACUGAGACACGGCCCA
rnacentral:rRNA from 1 species